AACGAACGCUGGCGGCAUGCCUAACACAUGCAAGUCGAACGAGACCUUCGGGUCUAGUGGCGCACGGGUGCGUAACGCGUGGGAACCUGCCCUUAGGUUCGGAAUAACUCCCCGAAAGGGGUGCUAAUACCGGAUAAUGUCUUCGGACCAAAGAUUUAUCGCCUUUGGAUGGGCCCGCGUUGGAUUAGCUAGUUGGUAGGGUAAAAGCCUACCAAGGCGACGAUCCAUAGCUGGUCUGAGAGGAUGAUCAGCCACACUGGGACUGAGACAAGGCCCAGACUCCUACGGGAGGCAGCAGUGGGGAAUAUUGGACAAUGGGCGAAAGCCUGAUCCAGCAAUGCCGCGUGAGUGAUGAAGGCCUUAGGGUUGUAAAGCUCUUUUACCCGGGAUGAUAAUGACAGUACCGGGAGAAUAAGCUCCGGCUAACUCCGUG
rnacentral:rRNA from 1 species